ACUCUACAGUAGCCGCGCGGCCAGGGUAACCGCGGGCUCGCGUGGGUGCUGCUGGCUACCUGUACAACUUCGUGCUCCGGCGUCACCAGCUAGCUAAAUCCUCGCAACGGUUCUGGGCGAUAGGGGCCGUUUUUGUCCCCCUUCUUCAGCAGAUGAGGGAAUUUGUUUCAAAAAGUUGUUACCUGCUCACGGAAACAGACGUCCUAAGCUAUUAACACAAUCUCCAGCUGUGUUCUAACCAAGACAGGAACCGAAGGGAACAGUAAAAAAUCAUUUUCCGACACUCAAGCAGCCUAUGGAGAGAUCCAGUUGUCCAGGAACUGUUUGUAGCCUCCUACCAAAUGCCACGGAGUGAGUCACUUUGGAAGUAGAUCCUCCAACCUUGGUCAAGCCUUUGGCUGACUACAACUUCAUGAGAGACCCAGAGGUAGGACCACCUAGCUUAGCCACUCCUGGAAUCCUGACUCAGAAACAGUGUAAGAUGAAAAGUACUUGGUGUAAGCCACUAAGCUUUGGGGUUAUUUGUUACACAGCUAUAAAUAACUAAUAUAUAGGGUAAAAGGAAAAACAGUAAAUGAAUGUAUGAGUUCUUUGUACUGUUUUUGCAACUUUUCUGUAAGUUUGAAAUUAUU
rnacentral:lncRNA from 1 species